rnacentral:rRNA from 1 species
CCUACGGGAGGCAGCAGUGAGGAAUAUUGGUCAAUGGACGGAAGUCUGAACCAGACAGGACGCGUGCAGGAAGAGGGCGCGAGGAGUGGUAAACUGCUUUUGUACAAGGGUAAACCUGAAUACGUGUAGUCAGCUGAAAGUACUGGACGAAAAAGGAUCGGCUCCCUCCGGGCCAGCAGCCGCGGUAAUACGGAGGAUCCAAGCGUUAUCCGGAUUUAUUGGGUUUAAAGGGUGCGUAGGCGGAUUGAUAAGUUAGAGGUGAAAUGUCCGAGCUUAACUCGGGAACUGCCUCUAAUACUGUUGAUCUAGAGAGUAGAUGCGGUAGGCGGAAUGUAUGGUGUAGCGGUGAAAUGCUUAGAGAUCAUACAGAACACCGAUUGCGAAGGCAGCUUACCAAUCUCUAUCUGACGUUGAGGCACGAAAGCGUGGGGAGCAAAUAGGAUUAGAUACCCCUGUAGUC